rnacentral:rRNA from 1 species
AUUGAACGCUGGCGGCAGGCCUAACACAUGCAAGUCGAGCGGUAGCACAGAGAGCUUGCUCUCGGGUGACGAGCGGCGGACGGGUGAGUAAUGUCUGAGAAACUGCCUGAUGGAGGGGGAUAACUACUGGAAACGGUAGCUAAUACCGCAUAAUGUCGCAAGACCAAAGUGGGGGACCUUCGGGCCUCAUGCCAUCAGAUGGGCCCAGGAGGGAUUAGCUAGUAGGUGGGGUAACGGCUCACCUAGGCGACGAUCCCUAGGUGGUCUGAGAGGAUGACCAGCCACACUGGAACUGAGACACGGUCCAGACUACUACGGGAGGCAGCAGUGGGGAAUAUUGCACAAUGGGCGCAAGCCUGAUGCAGCCAUGCCGCGUGUGUGAAGAAGGCCUUCGGGUUGUAAAGCACUUUCAGCGGGGAGGAAGGCGAUAAGGUUAAUAACCUUGUCGAUUGACGUUACCCGCAGAAGAAGCACCGGCUAACUCCGUGCCAGCCGCCGCAGUAA